UACGGGGGGGAGCAAGCGUUGUCCGGAAUUAUUGGGCGUAAAGAGCUCGUAGGCGGUCUGUCGCGUCUGCUGUGAAAACUCGGGGCUCAGCCCCGAGCCUGCAGUCGAUACGGGCAGACUAGAGUGCUGUAGGGGAGACUGGAAUUCCUGGUGUAGCGGUGAAAUGCGCAGAUAUCAGGAGGAACACCGGUGGCGAAGGCGGGUCUCUGGGCAGUAACUGACGCUGAGGAGCGAAAGCGUGGGGAGCGAACAGG
rnacentral:rRNA from 1 species